AGCAGCCGCGGUAAUUCCAGCUCCAAUAGCGUAUAUUAAAGUUGUUGCAGUUAAAAAGCUCGUAGUUGAAUUUCGGGAUCAAUAUGUUGGUCGUGCCUUGGUACGUACUGGCAUUAUUGGUUUCUACCUUCUGAAGAACCUCGAUGUCAUUAAUUUGGUGUCUUGGGGAAUCAGGACUGUUACUUUGAAAAAAUUAGAGUGUUUAAAGCAGGCUCGCGCUUGAAUACAUUAGCAUGGAAUAAUGAAAUAGGACGUUUGAUUCUAUUUUGUUGGUUUCUAGGAUCGACGUAAUGAUUAAUAGGGAUAGUUGGGGGCAUUAGUAUUCAAUUGUCAGAGGUGAAAUUCUUGGAUUUAUUGAAGACUAACUACUGCGAAAGCAUUUGCCAAGGAUGUUUUCAUUAAUCAAGAACGAAAGUUAGGGGAUCGAAGACGAUCAGAUACCGUCGUAGUCUUAACCAUAAACUAUGCCGACUAGGGAUCGGAUGAUGUUAAUUUUUUAAUGACUCAUUCGGCGCCUUACG
rnacentral:rRNA from 1 species